rnacentral:lncRNA from 1 species
CUUGCUUUGGCAAUGUAAACAUAUGUUUCCCAUGCCAAUAAAGCCCUUUAAAUUUCAUUGAAUUGAGAAAAAGAGAGAGAGAAAAAGAAAGAGAGAAAGAGAGAGCGAGACACACAGCACACACUCUAACAGCACACACUCACACAGCACACACUCAGCACACACUCACACAGCACACACUCACACAGCACACACUCAGCACACACUCAGCACACACUCACACACACUCACACAGCACACACUCAGCACACACUCACACAGCACACACUCACACAGCACACACUCUAACAGCACACAGCACACACUCAGCACACACUCACACAGCACACACUCAGCACACACUCAGCACACACUCACACAGCACACACUCAGCACACACUCAGCACACACUCAGCACACACUCAGCACACACUCACACAGCACACACUCAGCACACACUCAGCACACACUCACUCAGCACACACUCAGCACACACUCAGCACACACUCAGCACAAACUCACACAGCACACACUCAGCACACACUCACACAGCACACACUCAGCACACACUCAGCACACACUCAGCACACACUCACACAGCACAAACUCAGCACAAACUCACACAGCACACACUCACACAGCACACACUCACACAGCACACACUCACACAGCACACACUCACACAGCACACACUCACACAGCACACACUCAGCACAAACUCACACAGCACACACUCAGCACACACUCACACAGCACACACUCACACAGCACACACUCACACAGCACACACCCAGCACACACUCACACAGCACACACUCAGCACACACACACUCAGCACACACUCACACAGCACACACUCACACAGCACACACACACUCAGCACACACACACACAGCACACACUCACACAGCACACACACAGCACACACUCAGCACACACUCACACAGCACACACAUAGCACACACUCAGCACAAACUCAGCACACACUCAGCACACACACAGCACACACUCAGCACACACUCAGCACAAACUCAUACAGCACACACUCAGCACACACUCACACAGCACACACACAGCACACACUCAGCACACACUCACACAGCACACACAUAGCACACACUCAGCACAAACUCAGCACACACUCAGCACACACACAGCACACACUCAGCACACACUCAGCACAAACUCAUACAGCACACACUCAGCACACACUCACACAGCACACACUCAGCACAAACUCACACAGCACAC